UUCAAGUGAAUAGCAGGCAAAAGUAUCUAGCAAAGUACAUUCAAAGGUCAUAUCACUUCAGCUGCAGGCUGGAAUAGCAAAUAAAAAUUAAUUAGGGAAUGAGUUUCUUUUAAUCCAUUAAGUAACAAAUUCGAUACUCAAGAGGAAUAAUACACCAAAGAAUCAUGAUUGCUGACAAACAUGUUAGCUAUAUAGAACACAAACAUGGGAAGCAGAUACCCGUCUGAGAUGCCAACAGUUGAGCGCAAAACUAACUCAGGAUUUCGACCAACUGUUCUCGAAUCAAGUCCCUCCCCAAGGUUCUGAAGAACAAAACCAAUGAAGAUUGUCAGGACAGCAAUCCAUCAGCUGCAGUGAUCCAGUGGUUCAUCGAUGGUCCAUUUCAUCAUUGAUAUGUAUAACAUGUUAUCUUCCGGUCUUGGCGCGUUUCAUUCCAGCAUUGUUAAAGGGCGACAUACUAGGACUCAUACUCGGACUCAUGCUUGGGCUUUCUUCUCUUA
rnacentral:lncRNA from 1 species